rnacentral:ribozyme from 1 species
UUUUUUUUUUUUUUUUUUUUUUUUUUCUCUAUUCUUUUUUCCUAAAGUUGUCAUAAGAUAUAAAAUCG